rnacentral:tRNA from 1 species
ACCUGGAUAGCUCAGUUGGUUAGAGCAUAGUGCUGACAAUGCUAAGGUUAUAGGUUCAAUCCCUGUAUUGGAAA